AAUAUUGGUCAUUUCAGAUUAUUUGCAAUCUAAUGAGAAGCAUGUGAAUGGACAACUUUCGAGUUCGUUGCAUUUCCGUCAAAAAAUUUAGUUUUAGUGAACACCAUUCUUACAUUUAGGGUGAGUUUUCACUUCUGUUCCUAGGUUGAAAAAAUGAUUAUGCUACAUUAGACAAAGUAUAUGGCAAAUUAAAUUCUUAUAAUUAAUUUUGAAAAAAAAGAAUUUCUAGUAUAUCCUGAUUAAUGACCAGCGCAAAGACGCUUGAUGAACUUCAAUCAUACAUGCGAUUCCCUUCAUCUGGUAAAUGAUGUCAUAAAGGUUCACAAAUUUAACGAAAUUUUUCCAAUGAAGGAAAUAACACCAAGUGGUCUAUUCUUAACCAUGUCAUUAAAUUUAUUAAUCAUAGUGAC
rnacentral:lncRNA from 1 species